UCCAGACUCCUACGGGAGGCAGCAGUAGGGAAUCUUUCACAAUGGGCGCAAGCCUGACCCAGCAACGCCGCGUGGAGGAAGAAGGCUUUCGGGUUGUAAACUUCUUUUCUCAGGGACGAAGAAAGUGACGGUACCUGAGGAAUAAGCCACGGCUAACUACGUGCCAGCAGCCGCGGUAAUACGUAGGUGGCAAGCGUUAUCCGGAUUUACUGGGUGUAAAGGGCGUGUAGGCGGGAGUGCAAGUCAGAUGUGAAAACCACGGGCUCAACCUGUGGCCUGCAUUUGAAACUGUACUUCUUGAGUACUGGAGAGGCAGACGGAAUUCCUAGUGUAGCGGUGAAAUGCGUAGAUAUUAGGAGGAACACCAGUGGCGAAGGCGGUCUGCUGGACAGCAACUGACGCUGAGGCGCGAAAGCGUGGGGAGCAAACAGGAUUAGAUACCCCUGUA
rnacentral:rRNA from 1 species